AUUUGGCGCGCGCAAAGCGCGCGCAUGUUCUAGUCCUUUCUAAAAAAAGGCAUUUUAAAUCGAUACUCGCAUCUCUCCAAAUCUUCUCGAAAGUCUCGAAUUAUUGUUGACUCUUUUCCGCGAUGAUCUGAUUGGUUCUCUCGCUUAGCUCACUUCGUGCUGCGAGAGCUGUCAGCGCGGAGAUCACAUGUUGCAUAAGAUAAAUGUAAUGUAAUAACAGCUCGCAAGUGACAGCAGUGAAUGAUAGAUUGUGAAUAAUAGAUAUAAAAAAAAUGGUAUAUAUAGUGAAUGAGAAGAUCUUUUAGACAUUUAUGAUAAAAUGAAUGGCAAAAAUACUCGUAUUUGGUUAAAAUUUGGUUAAAUGAAGGCAACGAAUUUCAUUAGAUCGAAUCAACAGCAAAUUUGGUGAAUUAUUUCAUAAAAAUUAUGACCGUAACAAAUAGUUUUGUCAAGUGAGUAUUACCUGUAAACUAUAUCUUCGUACAUGUAUGUAAUUUAAUGUAUGUACAUGUAUGUUUCGAUAAUGUAUGUAUGUAUGUAAAUGUGGAAAAUCAUAUAUUACAAAAUUAAAAUCUAAAGUAGCUUCUGAUUAAGUAAAAUCGCAGAUUUAAUUUAAAUUAGAGGUAGUGAGAGAAUGAGUGAGAGAGUUAGUGAGUUAGAUUGAGAGA